rnacentral:rRNA from 1 species
GACGAACGCUGGCGGCGUGCUUAACACAUGCAAGUCGAACGGAAAGGCCCUGCUUUUGUGGGGUGCUCGAGUGGCGAACGGGUGAGUAACACGUGAGUAACCUGCCCUUGACUUUGGGAUAACUUCAGGAAACUGGGGCUAAUACCGGAUAGGAGCUCCUGCUGCAUGGUGGGGGUUGGAAAGUUUCGGCGGUUGGGGAUGGACUCGCGGCUUAUCAGCUUGUUGGUGGGGUAGUGGCUUACCAAGGCUUUGACGGGUAGCCGGCCUGAGAGGGUGACCGGCGACAUUGGGACUGCGAUACGGACCAGUAUCCUACGGGAGGCAGUAGUGGAGAAUAUUGCACAAUGGGGCGAAGCCUGAUGCAGCGACGCCGCGUGCGGGAUGCUGGCCUUCGAGUUGUGAACCGCUUUCGCAUGUAACGAAGCGUGAGUGACGGUAAUGGGUAAAAAAGCACCGGCUAACUACGUG